CUGACGCUAGUUAAUAGGAGCCUGCGCUCUGCUCGCGCAGGAAGUCUGGACGCAACAGCGGCGAGGAGUUUAUUAAUGAGUUUUCCAUGUUCGCAUGUUAACAGUGAGGUUAUUUAAUGCUCCCGAAGUAUGGGUAUCUGGUGGUGAUCAACGGUCGGAGACCCCUGGAUGGUUACCUUACUCAAACACAUUACAUGUGAAGGCUGGUAAGGAGGGAACAUAUAAAUUUAAUGCAGUUCCCCUAGUUCUGCCCUGUCAACUUCUAAAGUUGAGUUCGUAAAUGUUCUUGAACUAACCUUACCAACGGAGGGUGAAAUUUUCAAAUAUUUACUGUUUAUUCGGUCAAACUCUAAAUGCCAAAAAGCUCCAAGCACGCUAUGAAGUAAAUACUCGCCGCCCUGGAGUCCAGUCUUACAGAGAAGAUACAGUAAUGGCAAGGAAAAAAAGGGGGGUAUACAGGUGCCAAUAGAAAAACUGCAAGGAAUUUAAACAGCCUCCAUUCAUACACAGAAAUGUGCAAAUGUAAGCUGUUUGAGAGAUGGGACAUCUUUGUCUUGUUCAUGACUGUAUGUCUACAACGUAGAAACAUCUGGAACAUGGGUAUGUCCUGUGCACUGUAGGAAGUUGAACAGCAGGAAAAAAAAAAAAAAAAAAACCAACGGAUUAUGGCUCUAUUUGGUAGAUGCCAGAACAGCCCUCCAGAUAUAACAAUCCCAAAGGUCUUCAGACAUUACCAGUGUCCAGAGGAGCAAAAUCAUCGCCCCCUUGAGAUUCCUUCACUGCUUCACUGUAAAAUUCUCUCAACUUUUCUGUAUGCUUGAAGUUGUUCAGAAAAGUUGGGAGAAAAAAUAUUUAAUGACAUUGAAGAAUGCUCAUAAACACCACGUAGAAGGUGCAACUAUGAAGAGCUAUGUACUAAUAUUUUGUAAAAGAAAAAACUGGAAGUCAGCAAUAAUACCUGAAAUCAGUGAAUAUCAGUGCUUACACAAAAACUUACAAGAUUUCUAAAAUGAAUAUGUAACAAAGACAAAAAAAACAAAUUGUGUAUAAAUUGUGAAUAAAAACAUUUCUAAUUACUCUCAGGUUUGAGUCACCUUCAACCUGCCCUUUUACUCCAGUGAUAAAUUUCGGUGCAUGCACAUGGCCCUUCCUAAGUCACCACAGCCACCAUCCACGAUCACCUCCCCCUGCUGCCUUACUGCUCUUGUCAGUCAGGAACCAGCAGUAUCCGUGUUGCGUGGUGACAUACCAGGAACGCAGAAUAUGGGACCCCCAGCCCCUACUACCGAAUUCGGAGCUGCAUUAAAUCAACAUCCCCGAAUGAUUCCUACACAUGUUCGAAUUUACCAAUGCGUUACUUUCAUGGACCAUUCCUUGACAGUGCAGUCUUUACUUCUGACAGUGGCAGCAACUGGGACAUCGCAAUGGGGACAGAAUAAAAACUCUGUGACUGAGAACGUAGUAGAGCCAAGAAAUCUCAAUGGUCCGCCUCAUUCCGGGACUCACCCGCCCGCAGGGAAGCAGCUUCCGCGCCCAGCGGCCCGCAUGCGCCACGCUGGGGCUGGUCGGGGAGGGGGUGCUAUCCCACUUCCCCUAGGCUUCGGCGCUGGAGCGGUUCGUAGGUCACGGGUUGCCUAGCAUUGGAAUUCCCAGGCUCCAUCCGUUUGAAAAUUGAUUUGUCCGUGCAGCCAAGAAACCUGGGGUUACAGGAACAGAGGGGGUCCACAGCCCGAAGUGAACCUAGUGCUCAGCCGGACCGGGGUUUCCCACGCCGCAGAGGUCAGCCAACCCCGAGCUUGGCCGCUUGGUGGCACCACCUUUCCACCGCUACACACCUCUCAUUGGUUAGAGCCGGCUCCGGGCCCUGCGCACAGCCGGGACCCACGCUCCUCCACCACGACCCAACAUUCAAUCGAAAUUACUAGACGACAGCAAGAAUAGGCAAAUCUAUAGAGACGAGAAGUAGAUUAUCGUUUGACUAGGACUGGGAGCGCGAGAGGAAUGGGGAGUGACUGCUAAAGGGCAUGGGAUUUCUUUAUGGUGAAUGAAAAUGUCCUAAAAAUCAGAUUGUGGUGAUGGUUGCACAAAUUUGUCAAUCGACUAAAUACCACUGAAUCAUCACUUAAAAUGAGUGAACUUUCUAAAAAAUAUCCUAGAUAUUGAAAGUCAGCAAAAUGUGACCUAUAAUCAAGAGAAAUAUCAGUCAGGAGAUACAGAACUAUAUAUAUGACACAGAUGAUGGAAUUAAAUGACAAAGUCAACUUUUAAAGGAACUAUUAUAAAUAUUUUCAAGGAUUUCAGGAAAACAUGAGCAAAAGGGGAAGAAAUGAAAACUAUGAAAAAAAAUUGUCAUGGUCUGAACUGUGUCCCCUCCAAAUUCGUGUGUUGAAGCUCUUUACUGCCAGUGUGGCUGUAUUUGGAGAUAGGGACUUUAAAGGGGUAAUGAACAUAAAAUGAAAUGAAAUCACCAGGGUGGGACCCUAAUUCAAUAUGACUAGUGUCCUAAGAAGAAACACCAGGGCUCUGUAUGCACAAGAAGAAAAGCCACAUGAGGACACAGCAAGAAGGGAGCCAUUUACAAACCAUGGGGCGAGGUAUGAGGAGAAACCAAACCUGCCAACCCCUUAAUCUUGGACUUCCAGACUCCAGAACUGUGAGAAAAUAAUUUUCGGUUGCAUAAGCCAUCCAAUUUUUAGUAUUCUGUUAUGGUAGCCUAAGAAGAUUAAUACAUAUUGCUGUGCCACAUUUUAUUCAUCUACCUACAAAUUGAUAGACAUUUGAAUUGUUUCAACUUCUUGGCUAUUAUGAAUAAUGCUGCCAUGAAUAUUCCUUUCAACUUUUUACAGUAUAUAUUUUUGAUCAACUACAUUGAGUACAAUUUACAUAAAUAAAAAUUUAAGUAUACAGCUCAAUGAACUUUGACAAAUGUUUACAGCCACUUAUCUGUGUAACUAUCACAAAACUGCUCUCUCACUGCAGAUUAGUUUUGCUAUCCUCAAACUUUAAGCAAAUAGAAUCAUACAAUAUAGCCUCUUUUUUGCCUCAGCUUAAUGUUUUUGAGAUUUGUACAUGUUGUAUUUAUCCAUAGUAUAUUCCAUUUUAAUGCUGAAUAGUAUUCCAUUGUAUGACUAUACCACUACUUGUCAACCCAUUCACCUAUUGAUGGAAACUUGGACUGAAUAUGUUACUGGGCAGUGGACUGUGGGAUUCCUCAGUUACUGGGAUUGUGGAAUUCCUCAGUUUUUGUCUUCCUGAAGGAAAGAAUUAAGUCAAGAGUCCUGAUAGUUGACACUGCAAAGGGCUUUUUUAAUUUAGCAAAUUGAAAGGAAAAUAUGCUCCAAAAACAGAGGAGUGGCUGACCCUGAGGGUGCCCACCAGGUUUUACAUUGUGUCUUUUUAUGGGGGAGUUACUUGUUUUCUCCCUCCUAUUUUGUCAUUCUUACAUCAUCCUUUAGACCCUCCUGGUUCCACCCCUUCAGCCUCUUUGCACAAGUUUGUGUUCAUCAUUUUCUCAUGAGCAUCCAAGUAAAACCCACGACCGCAGUGUAAAUGAUAUAAUAAUGAUACUGUAAUGGCCUCAGUGUCGUUAGCAACAAGGUCUUCCUUAAGUACAUAUGUGCCACAAUCAGGAAGGUCCCAGGACCCAUAUAUUUUGCUUACCAGUUUGUGCUGAACUGUAAAAGGGGUUGGUCUAAGAGAGACAGGGCAGUCUCUAGACAGAGACUAAGUGGAGACUGGUUAGAGACUGGGUGGUCUUUCAUCCUCCUUUCUCCCUUCCUGCUCAUGUCUAUCUAACUGCUUACAGCUCUAAUUCAGGCUACUAUGGGUAAAACUGCUAUAAAUAUUCAUAUAUAAAUCUUUUUGUGGUAUACAUUUUCAUUUCUCAAGUGUCACAUAAUCUAGUUUCUUAGGGCUGUCAUAACAAAGUACCAUAAACUGGGUGGCUUAAGACAUAAAACAAUAUGUCUUAAGAAUAAUCUAGAGGCUAAAAGGUGUCACCAGGGCUUCAGACCUCUAGGGAAGAAUCCUUCCUUGCCUCUUCCUAGCUUCUGGUGGUUUUCUAGCUAGCCCUGGCAUUCCUGGGCUUGCAGCUAUAGAGCUACAGUCUGCCUUUGCUGUCACAUAGCAGUGCCCCUGUUUGUGUCUGUGUGUCUCUUCACCUCUUAUGAAGGAAGACACUUGAUUGAUCUGAAUGUGUCCUCCAAAAAAUUCAUAUGUUGAAGCCUAACCCUGAAGGUAUUGAGAGGUGGGGCCUUUGGAAUAUGCUUAGGUUAUAAUUGUGAAAGCCUCAUAAAAAGGAUUGGUGCUUUACAAAAAAGGCCCCGGAGAGAUGCUACCCCUUCCAGUAUAUGAGGACUCAGCACGAAGUUGCCUACUAUUUAACAGGAAGAGAGCCAUCUUCAGAAGGCAACAAUGCUGGUGCCUUGAUUUUGAACUUCCCAGCCCACGGAACUGUGAGAAAUAAAUUUCUGUUGUCUCUAAGCUACCCAAUUUGUGACUUUUUAUAGCAACCCAAAGGAACUAAUACAACACAGUAAUAUUGGAUUAAUGGCCCGUCCUACUCCAAUGUGAUUUUUUUGUUUACAGAUGUCUUUAUUUUACCUUCAAUUUGAAGAAUACUUUUACUGGGUAGAGAAUGGUGGGUUCUAUAGUUUUUUCCCCCUUGUUUUUGUUUUGUUUCAUCAUUCAGGAUGAUAAUCCAAUUUCUCCUGGUUUAUAUUGUUUCUGAUGAGAAAUCAGCAGUAAUGUCUAUUUUUAUUCCUCUGUACUUAAUACAUCUUUUUUCUUUGGUGCCUUUAAGAUGUUCUCUUCAUCACUGUUUUUCAAAAAUUUGAUUUUGAUAUGCUUUGGUAUGAUUUUUUCCAGCUUUAUUGACAAAUAAAGUCAUAAGAUAUUUAAAGUGUACAAUGUGAUGGUUUGAUGUAAACAUACAUUGUGAAAGGAUUUCCCCAAUCUAGUUAAUUGUUACAUCCAUCACCUUACAUAUUUACCUUUUUUUUUUUGGUGAGAACAUUUAAGUUCCACUGUCUUAGCAAAAUUCAGUUACAUAUAGUGUUAUCAACUAUAAUCACCAUUGGUAUGCUUUGCCUUAUGUUUAUUUUCCUUGGCCUUCUUUGAACUUCUUGAAAUUAUAUAUGUUAUCAAAUUUGGAAACAUUACCAUCAUCAGACAUUUUUACUGCCAGCCUGGAGUGUUGGAACUCCAAAACACGAAUCAGAACUCUUGAUAUUGUCUCCCAAAUUACUGAGGCUCUGUUACUGUUUUUCAGCCUUAUUCUCAGUUUAGAGUUUGUAUUACCCUGACUUCAGAUUCAUUGAUCUUUUCGUCGAGUGCCUAAUUUAUCCAGUGAAUUUUUAGUUUAGGAUAUUACAUUGUCAGCUCUAGAAUUUCCAUUUGGUUCUUGUGUUUGUCUAUUAGGGCUGCCAUAACAGAAUACCACAGACUGGAUGGAAACAACAGAACUUUAUCUGUUAUAGUUCUGGAGUCUGGAAGUCCAUGAUAAAGAUGUGGGUAAAAUUAUAACAUUUCCAGAAUAUCUUGCCUGGCUUUAGUACAUCUGCAUAUCAAUAGGCAUUCAGAGGUGGAAAGAAGUAUGGCUUUAGUGCAUUUGCAUUAUUCCUCAAGGAUGGAGAGAAGUUCAUCUCCAUAUCAAUGGGCAAGGAAAGCUUAUCUGUACCAGAGAGGAGAGAGGAGGGCCAGUUUUGCUUUUGCUGGAGCAGGAAAGAGAGAAACAGCCCCGGACUGCAGUUUGUAAGCAAUAAACGGAUUUUAAACUGUAUUUCUGCCUUUGACUGAUCUCGGUUCUUAGAGGUAUUUUGCCCCGGAAUUUCCUCUCCCCAGACUUACAAAGGUGUUGGCAGGUUUGGUUUCUCGUACCUCUCUCCAUGGCUUGCAGAUGGCCGCCUUCUUGCUGUGUCCUUGUGGGUAAAAUUGUAACAUUUCCAGAGUAGCUCACCUGGCUUUAGUGCAUUUGUAUAUCCUCACGGGUGGCGAGAAAUUCAUCUCUAUAUCAAUGGGUAAUUACCUGGGCAACCGAGGGUGUGUCUCAACCUGAGAGUUUAAAGGGAGGGGCUGGCUUAUUCAGGAGCAGAGAAGAGAGAUGGCCCUGGACUGCAGUUUGUAAGCAAUAAAUGGGUUUUAAACUUUAUUUCUCCCUUUGACUGAUCUCGGUUUUUAGAGGCAUUUUGCCCUGGGAUUUCUUCUCCCUGGACUUACAGUCCUCAUGUAGCCUUUUCUCUUAUGCAUACACAUCCCUGGUGUCUCUUCUUAUAAAGAUACUAGUUAUAUUGGAUUAAGGUUCCACCAUUAUGACCUCAUAUAAGCUUAAUUAUCUCCUUAAAGUACCUAUUUCCAAAUACAGUCACUUUGGAGGUUAAGGCUUCAUCGUAUGAAUUUGGGAGCAGCACAAUUCAGUCCACAGCACCAUAUAAUGAAAUAAGUUUUGGCCGUAGAAAGGAAUGGAAUACAGAUACAUGCUAUAAUAUGGAUGAACCUUGGAAACAUUAUGCUAAGUAAAAGAAGCCAAUCACAAAAGACUACAUAUUACUUGAUUCCAUUUAUAUGAACUAUAUAGAGUAGGCAAAUCUGUAGAGACAGAAAGGAAAUUAAUAGUUGCUAGUGCUGAGGGAAGAAGGAAGAGGAUUUGGAAGGAAUGGGGACUGACUGCUAAUGGGUACAGGGUUUCUUUCUGUGGUGAUGUAAAUGUUCAAAAUUGAUUAAUUGUUGUGAUGGUUGCACAACUCUAUGAACAUGCCAAAAACUCUUUAAUUGUACAUUUAAGAGGAGUCAAGUAUAUGAUAUAUGAAUUAUAUAAAUAAAGCUGUUU